UACGUAGGGGGCUAGCGUUGUCCGGAUUUAUUGGGCGUAAAGAGCGUGUAGGCGGCCAGGUAGGUCUGGUGUGAAAACUCGAGGCUUAACCUCGAGAUGUCAUCGGAAACCAUCUGGCUAGAGUCCGGAAGAGGAGAGUGGAAUUCCUGGUGUAGCGGUGAAAUGCGUAGAUAUCUGGAGGAACACCGGUGGCGAAGGCGGCAUCCUGGACCGAGAUUGACGCUGAGGCGCGAAAGCCAGGGGAGCAAACGGG
rnacentral:rRNA from 1 species